UACGAAGGGAGCUAGCGUUGUUCGGAAUUACUGGGCGUAAAGGGCGCGUAGGCGGCUUGGCAAGUUGGGUGUGAAAGCCCAGGGCUCAACCCUGGAAUUGCACUCAAGACUGCCUUGCUUGAAUUCGGUAGAGGUUGGUGGAAUUCCCAGUGUAGAGGUGAAAUUCGUAGAGAUUGGGAAGAACACCCGUGGCGAAGGCGGCCAACUGGACCGACAUUGACGCUGAGGCGCGAAAGCGUGGGGAGCAAACAGG
rnacentral:rRNA from 1 species